AGACACUUUUCUCUUUCCU
rnacentral:snRNA from 1 species